rnacentral:rRNA from 1 species
GAUUAACGCUGGCGGCGUGCAUAACACAUGCAAGUCGAACGAUGAAGAUUAUUAGACUUCUUCGGAAUGAAAAUAAUUGGAUUAGUGGCGGACGGGUGAGUAACGCGUGAGUAACCUGCCUUACACAAGGGGAUAGCCGUUGGUAACGACGAAUAAUACCCUAUGAAACUAUCACUUCGCAUGAAGCGAUAGUCAAAGUGUUAGCGGUGUAAGAUGGACUUGCGUCUGAUUAGCUAGUUGGUGAGAAAAAAGCCCACCAAGGCAACGAUCAGUAGCCGGCUUGAGAGAGUGUACGGCCACAUUGGGACUGAGACACGGCCCAGACUCCUACGGGAGGCAGCAGUGGGGAAUUUUGCACAAUGGGGGAAACCCUGAUGCAGCGACGCCGCGUGAUUUAGAAGGCCUUCGGGUUGUAAAAAUCUUUUGUAUAGGAAGAAAAUGACAGUACUAUACGAAUAAGGUCCGGCUAAUUACGUG